UGGAGGCAGUUUGGAGGUUUUGGUGAAGGAACCUGUAUGAAGGAGACGAAGUUUCACUUGUUUGAGUACGAUUAACUUCUCUGUUUAUAAUACUAACUACUCAUUCGUAAGCAAGAUUUUCCGUUCUUUUUUACCUGAUACUUAGUUCUGGUGGAAGCUUAUCAGUAUUGUUUUCAGUUUGAUUGAGACUAUAAAUUUAAGGUUUUUUUUUAUUUUGGAAAUUGAUAAGACAAUACUCGAGGCCUAUAAAGUCAACAAAUGACACCAAAUCAGUGUAAUUCAAACAUUCAACGUUGAAAUACCCCCGUGGAUAAUCACAAUGAAGUUCCCCUCCAAAUCCUUCCUCGUGGCACUUGUGAUUUUGAUUGUUGCGAGUGUCCCAAGUUUGAGCGCUGUUCGUGUAAUAUUCAAGGGGACGCCACCUCCAGAAGCGGAUCACCAGUCGAAUUCUCAGCAGAGUACGGCCCACAUCUUUCGAUCGCCGAGUGGAGUCCGCAGUGGGGCGUCUUGUGGCGCUGGCCAGAUGUACGACAGCUCGGGAAUGUGCCGGAAUGCGGUGUACUUUUGAGACACGGUGAAAAUAUUGGGAGUCGUAAUGAAUCAGUUCCAGGAAUAAUAUAUGACAGAAUCGUACUACCUUUAAGCCGGUCGAUGUCAAGUGUAUUUCUACUUUAAGUAUCAACUAGCUUAGUAAUGAGAAGGAGCUGCAGUAAGGAUUCGACUUUAGACUAUAUCCAUAGAAUAUAAGUAUUCGUCGACUAUACAACAAUAAAAUGUUCAAGCGAAUAAACUUU